GCCAGGUUGCGGCUGUAGUGGAUUCCUCGCGUAAGGUUUCCAUUGGAUUGUGAUUCCGCUUCCCUCACAAACGAGUAUUUCACCACCACCAUCCCCAGGAGUCCAGCGUGUACAGCUCCUUCGCCCCGACCCCGCCAACAUAACGUCCACACCUACAGAAUAAUGGCACUACGCAUCCAAAAUGAAGAAAGAAAAAAAAAUCUCCGUAUCCAGAGCUGUUCUGUUUCGCACCCGUCCUCCACCUUGUCGAAGGGCAUGGCACGACGCAGCGCGCCACCGACAUUUUCACGAGAGGACGAUGGUCCUGUCAUCGCUUCGUUACUGUGCCGGGAGGCGCUAACCGGAAAAACGCCACACGCCGGGAUAGCCCCAUGGGAAAAUUCGGCCAUCUAUGUGAAGAAGGCAAAGAGCUCGUAUGAUCGCUUCCUGAGCGUACGUGGCAGCCGAAACAGAGCAGAGCGCAGCAUCCAGCAGGCCACUCCUCUAUGGAUAAAUGGAUCGCGCUUCUCCCAUGCCGCAGCCUAACCUCCACUCCCCCGUUUAUCUUCCGUUUGUUCCCGACAUACGUAGCUCUGA